UACGAAGGGGGGCUAGCGUUGUUCGGAAUCACUGGGCGUAAAGGGCGCGUAGGCGGCUUUAUAAGUCGGGGGGUGAAAGCCUGUGGCUCAACCACAGAAUUGCCUUCGAUACUGUAGAGCUUGAGACCGGAAGAGGUAAGUGGAACUGCGAGUGUAGAGGUGAAAUUCGUAGAUAUUCGCAAGAACACCAGUGGCGAAGGC
rnacentral:rRNA from 1 species